GAUGAACGCUGGCGGCGUGCCUAAUACAUGCAAGUCGAGCGAACAGACGAGGAGCUUGCUCCUCUGACGUUAGCGGCGGACGGGUGAGUAACACGUGGAUAACCUACCUAUAAGACUGGGAUAACUUCGGGAAACCGGAGCUAAUACCGGAUAACAUGUUGAACCGCAUGGUUCAACAGUGAAAGACGGUCUUGCUGUCACUUAUAGAUGGAUCCGCGCCGCAUUAGCUAGUUGGUAAGGUAACGGCUUACCAAGGCAACGAUGCGUAGCCGACCUGAGAGGGUGAUCGGCCACACUGGAACUGAGACACGGUCCAGACUACUACGGGAGGCAGCAGUAGGGAAUCUUCCGCAAUGGGCGAGAGCCUGACGGAGCAACGCCGCGUGAGUGAAGAAGGUCUUCGGAUCGUAAAACUCUGUUAUUAGGGAAGAACAAAUGUGUAAGUAACUAUGCACGUCUUGACGGUACCUAAUCAGAAAGCCACGGCUAACUACGUG
rnacentral:rRNA from 1 species